ACGGGAGGCAGCAGUGAGGAAUAUUGGUCAAUGGGCGAGAGCCUGAACCAGCCAUGUCGCGUGCAGGAAUACGGCCCUAUGGGUUUUAAACUGCUUUUGCCUGGGGAUAAAGUGGCGGACUUGUCCGUUAUUGCAGGUACCAGGCGAAUAAGGAUCGGCUAACUCCGUGCCAGCAGCCGCGGUAAUACGGAGGAUCCGAGCGUUAUCCGGAUUUAUUGGGUUUAAAGGGAGCGUAGGCGGCCUUUUAAGUCAGCGGUCAAAUGUCAGCGCCCAACGCUGGCCUGCCGUUGAUACUGAUGGGCUUGAAUACACACAAGGAAGGUGGAAUUCGUCGUGUAGCGGUGAAAUGCUUAGAUAUGACGAAGAACUCCGAUUGCGAAGGCAGCCUUCUGGAGUGCGAUUGACGCUGAGGCUCGAAAGCGCGGGUAUCAAACAGGAUUAGAUACCCUGGUA
rnacentral:rRNA from 1 species